AUUGAACGCUGGCGGCAUGCUUUACACAUGCAAGUCGAACGGCAGCGGGGAGGAGCUUGCUUCUCUGCCGGCGAGUGGCGAACGGGUGAGUAAUACAUCGGAACGUGUCGAGAAGAGGGGGAUAACCACCCGAAAGGGUGGCUAAUACCGCAUAAAUUCUGAGGAAGAAAGCUGGGGACCUAGGAAUAGGCCUAGCGCUUUAUGAGCGGCCGAUGUCGGAUUAGCUAGUUGGUGAGGUAAAGGCUCACCAAGGCGAAGAUCUGUAGCGGGUCUGAGAGGAUGAUCCGCCACACUGGGACUGAGACACGGCCCAGACUCCUACGGGAGGCAGCAGUGGGGAAUUUUGGACAAUGGGGGCAACCCUGAUCCAGCCAUGCCGCGUGUAUGAAGAAGGCCUUAGGGUUGUAAAGUACUUUUGUUAGGGAAGAAAAGUCAGCUGUGAAUAAUGGCUGAUACUGACGGUACCUAAAGAAUAAGCACCGGCUAACUACGUG
rnacentral:rRNA from 1 species